CAGCCGUAAACUAUGCGCGUUAGGUGUACUGGUGACCACGAGUCACCGGGGUGCCGAAGGGAAACCGUGAAACGUGCCGCCUGGGAAGUACGGUCGCAAGGCUGAAACUUAAAGGAAUUGGCGGGGGGCACCGACAACGGGUGGAGCCUGCGGUUUAAUUGGACUCAACGCCGGAAAUCUCACCGGAUAGGACAGACAUAUGAUAGUCGGGCUGAAGACUCUACUUGAUGAUCUGAGAGGUGGUGCAUGGCGUCAGUGACU
rnacentral:rRNA from 1 species